GGUGUCCGAGUGGCUGAAGGAGCACGCCUGGAAAGUGUGUAUACGGCAACGUAUCGGGGGUUCGAAUCCCCCCCGGUGGGUGCCA
rnacentral:tRNA from 1 species